rnacentral:rRNA from 1 species
GAUGAACGCUGGCGGCGUGCCUAAUACAUGCAAGUCGAGCGAACAGAUGAGGAGCUUGCUCCUCUGACGUUAGCGGCGGACGGGUGAGUAACACGUGGAUAACCUACCUAUAAGACUGGGAUAACUUCGGGAAACCGGAGCUAAUACCGGAUAAUAUAUUGAACCGCAUGGUUCAAUAGUGAAAGACGGUUUUGCUGUCACUUAUAGAUGGAUCCGCGCCGCAUUAGCUAGUUGGUAAGGUAACGGCUUACCAAGGCAACGAUGCGUAGCCGACCUGAGAGGGUGGUCGGCCACACUGGAACUGAGACACGGUCCAGACUCCUACGUGAGGCAGCAGUAGGGAAUCUUCCGCAAUGGGCGAAAGCCUGACGGAGCAACGCCGCGUGAGUGAUGAAGGUCUUCGGAUCGUAAAACUCUGUUAUUAGGGAAGAACAAAUGUGUAAGUAACUAUGCACGUCUUGACGGUACCUAAUCAGAAAGCCACGGCUAACUACGUG